AUUGAACGCUGGCGGCAUGCCUUACACAUGCGAGUCGAACGGUAACGGGCCUUCGGGUGCCGACGAGUGGCGAACGGGUGAGUAAUACAUCGGAACGUGCCCGAUCGUGGGGGAUAACGAGGCGAAAGCUUUGCUAAUACCGCAUACGAUCUACGGAUGAAAGCAGGGGACCGCAAGGCCUUGCGCGGACGGAGCGGCCGAUGGCAGAUUAGGUAGUUGGUGGGAUAAAAGCUUACCAAGCCGACGAUCUGUAGCUGGGCUGAGAGGAUGAUCAGCCACACUGGGACUGAGACACGGCCCAGACUCCUACGGGAGGCAGCAGUGGGGAAUUUUGGACAAUGGGCGCAAGCCUGAUCCAGCCAUGCCGCGUGCAGGAUGAAGGCCUUCGGGUUGUAAACUGCUUUUGUACGGAACGAAAAGCCUUCUUUUAAUACAGGAGGGUCAUGACGGUACCGUAAGAAUAAGCACCGGCUAACUACGUG
rnacentral:rRNA from 1 species